CUGGCGGGGUGAGUGCGUGUGGGGUGAUGGCCAGCGGUGGUGCGCGUGGGACACCCGCUCUGGUGCGGUGACUACGGAGUGCGCUAUGGGGACCGGGCUAGGCCGCCAAGACGUUUUCAUCACGUGACUUUGAGUGCGGGGAAAAUGCGACGGGGAGGGUUUAGUCAUCUCCCACGACUUCGUCUUAUUUUUGUGCUGAUGGCGGUGGGCGUUUUUGUGGACGGCACCGAGGCGCGGAGGUCGCGCCGACCCGACUACUGCGACCCACAGGUCCGACAGUCGUCCUUCCUAUGGCGCGUCGAA